UGGUACCAGGCUGUAAACAUGUUUAUUUCUGCUGUGAAAUUGGUAUUUUUAACAUGGGAGUCAAUGAGGAUUUGCUCGCUUCUGACACCAGCCCCUAGUGGAUGAGGGUGGAACUGCAAUUGUUGUCACUUCCUGUUUUGCUUUAUAUCCAGACCCGAAUUAUGGGGGCUUGAGUUAGACGUAGGACUCCCAAACCACCUCCUCUCCAGAAUUGCGCUUUGGAAUCCUGUCCAGGAACACCAACAUCAGGAUGAUGGAGCGGGCUAGGUGGAGUGGAGUGACUCUGGGAGUUAACUCGACUUAGUGCCAAGAACGUGGACACGUCUCUAGCUUUGUGAGGUACUCUGAAAAGUGAGCCUGGAUCCAUGAAACACAUGGACUGGAGAACCAAACUUUAAUGAGCCGCUCCACAAGGCUGAAGAUCUGCUCCACUUUUUCAUAACGUGGGUUAAAACCCACAAACUGUUCAGCAAUCAGUCUCAAAAAGCCAAACUCUAGCGUCGCCAUGUUUUACAGCUGGGAUAAGGAUCAAAGUAGUCACCCUUGUCUAUGAAUUAAUUAUCAGUGACUUAUUUUCAGUUGAGAUGCUGCUGCUUUAAAGAUUAAUGUGUUCAUAGCAAAUUUCAUGUGACUGAUAUCUGUGUUCAUUUAUGAACCUUUUCUAUCUGCAUGUAGGUCCCUUCAGAUCUGGAUCAUCUCACAGCUUGAGCAACAUCCCAAAGAGUCAUAAAACUCCCAACAGCAGGAGAAGCUCCAAGAGCUCAGUUGAUCUGGAAACCACGACAGAAGAGCACGCGAGGAACGGGGUCAUGUGUAGUUUCUGUUUAAAGCCUGUUCACCUCAUACAGAGAUGUCUGAGUGACGGGAAGUUUUACCAUCGCAGCUGUUUCAGCGCGGGCCCUAAAGUGAAAUCCAACCAUCCCUGGAUGGCCAUCGUGCACCCCGGUCCGUGGUCACAGCUCCCGCCAGCUCCACCUCCAGUACCUCUCCCUCGGUCCAAAUCGACCCCUUACUCAUGGGGAUCAUCAAGCAGACCCAAAAUGCCUCCUCCCAAUCCGUUUGAAGAGGAGGAGCUCCUAGAGGAAGCUGCCACACCCGAGGAGACCUCUGCAGCCGCCGUCCAAUCGGAAAACGGUGAUGUAGUUGGUUCAAGUGAUGCCAAAGGUCCUGUCACUGAAUCUGAGCUGAAUACAGAUCAAACAGCGUAUUCUGAAGGGGGGUGUGGAGGUAAAGAAGUUGAAUCAGAAGCAGCGACCCCCACAGAGGGAGGAUCAGCUGGCCAGAUUGGUAAGACUGAAACAGCAGGGCAUUUUUUCAGAUUCAGGACUCGAUCAGAAUUUAUCCAGAAGCCUUUCUGUCUCAGAGAUCACACCUGA
rnacentral:lncRNA from 1 species